ensembl:lncRNA
CCUCUAAUACCACCCCGGUGGGGAGGGGAGAGGGUGGAUUGAUAAUUGGAGGUGGAGGUGGAGGCUCAUGCUCACCAUGACGGCUCCAUGACACCUACGUGUGGGAGGAAUAAGAAGAAGUACAUCAACUCUACCUUCCUAAAAGUGGAAGUCCCAAUAUCGCUUAACAAAUGCUCUUGUUGCUGAAACUGGCUCUGUUGUUUGCCGUGAAGAACCAGAUUGGUGCCUUUAGAGAAGGGCGGAACCACAGAUCUGUACUCUGAAGGGAGCACGCUGAAUUUGUCAACAAUUUUUCAGAAUUGGCAACUCUGUUUUGCCCGCAAGUUUUGCCCUGAGGCAUGUGGAAUCUUAGCUCCCUGAUUGCACCUACCCCCGGAAUUGGAAGGCAGAAAAGUCUUAACCACUGAACCACCAGGAAAGUUCAUCCACUCUUAUUUUAAGCUGAAGCCAUUCUAGUGUAACAUCUUUGACUGACAACUCCUUGGCUCAGCCAAGGUGGAGACUUUUAGGAAAAAUCGCCACUAACUAAAGAAGUGAUGAAAAUGACUGUGAGAAACCAAAAGGAAAGAAAUCUUCCUUAAAGUCCCUGCUCCAAAUGGAGAAAGUGUUUCUGCUGAUGGAGCAAGUGAAUCUGGGCAUCCAGGGUGAGCCCAAGAGUCUUGGGAAUGGACUGGCUGAGCAAUAGCUCGAAGGCAGAGGACAAAGGAGGCUGGCAAUGCAGUUUGUGGAGCUCGGCUUCUUGAGGCCCAGCAGGGCCUGGUCUACAGGAGAGAAUUCACAGAGCUGGGAAGGACAGCAGAAUCAAUACCAAGCAAGAGGCUCUUCCAACUCUCACAGCCUUGGGACCAAGAAACCUGUUCCCCAUUGAGCAGUUCACUGACUCAAGGGACAUGAGUCUGACCUCUCUGCCUUGCUGAUGUUUUGCUGCUGUGUCCUACUGUUGUGUACCUGUCGAUGUUUCUGUCAAGCCUUGCUGUGCUUGCCUGCUUGGGAGAUGGACCAGAGCUCUGCCAUACCUCCUCCAGCGGCUACUUGGUACUCAUCUCAUGGAAUCUGCCUCUCAACCUGUGAAGAGGGUGAUCAGAGAGCUGGAAACCUCCAGUGUGGCCCUUUCUGGCCUCGAUUCAGAUGCGCCCAUGACUUUCUUGUCCUGAGAGAGGGCAGAUGUGAUAGGAAGCAAACUCGUGUACUGGUGCACAUCUGGGUCCAGUGCCCUCACCUGGUCAGGCAGGGACGCGGGAAAUCUGCUUGCCCGGGGAAUCUGCUUCCAGCCCUUCGGCCUCUGCUUCUCAUGUGAUCUGAGAGGUCUCCCAGGAAGGGCUGAAACCCCUCUGGCUCAGAAUCCUGAGAAAGCUGGCAGAGGAAAUCAGAGCAAAGGAAGGUCAGUGUCAUGUCCGGUGGUGCCAAAGUAUAAGGCCAAGUGGAAAUAAGAAUUUGCCUUGAACUCUUUUUUCUGGGUGCUUGUGGUUUUUUUUUUUUCAUUACCUGAUCGACUGGGCAUUAGGGAAGUAUGCCCCACCUUUUCCAGGAGUGGUUCUGACUUUAUAGUUUUAAGAAAUUCAAGAGUCUGAGGUUGACACUUCAAUAUAAGCACACUGAAUGCUGUUGUUCUAGAUACUGACUUAGGAAUUAAUCUUUGGCAAAUUACAUUACAGUAGCACCACAUAACCUUUUAUUUUAAUUUUCUUUCUCUAUAGGCUAUUUUAUAUCCACCUAAGAUAUUCUGAAAAUAAGCCGUGACACCUAAGAAUAUACAUUUAUCACUGCAUUAAUUCUCCAACUGGGGUGUUGCCCAUAUUUUAGAAUUACCUGGCUCCAGUUCCAGGGAAUGGAAUAUAUGAUAAGGUAGAAUGAGAGUAUAUGUUCUAAUGUGAUCCCCUGGAGAAAGAGAUGGUAACCCACUCCAGUAUUCUUGCCUGGGAAUUCCCACAAACAGAGGAGAUUCACAGGCUACAGUCCAUGGAGUCUCAAAAGAGUCAGACAUGACUUAGUGACUAAACAACAAACAAAAUGUUAACUAUCUAUGCAUUCUUAGAUGCAGAAAUAUUAUUCUAUGUAUUUGAAAUACUUUAUCAGUUUUAUGCUUACUUCUAAAAAUUCUUGGAGUUAAGACACACUUAUCUAAUCAUCAAACAGUCACGCAACCCCAAACAAUUGGGACUGUCUUUCCAAACACCUUUUUGGGAAUUUCCUCAGCUGGCUGAGAGAUCCUAGGCCAGGGAAGAGGAAAGCAUUUCUACCUGUGACUCUGAUGGGAUGGACUACAACCUUUUGAUGGUUGUUCUAACAAGGACUGGUCACAGAGCUUAGUUUUGAAACAAGAGGUGAAAAUGAAAGCCAAGCUUAUGUCUGGUUGAUAGAAUGGAACUUGCAUCCUGCUUAGGACCAUUCUUUUGUCUAAACACGGCACCACUCAUAUUUAUCAUCUACCUUUCCCAAUUCUCAUCCCCCUCUGAUGGGAAAUAAAUGAAACAGCAGAUAUCUGUCAAUUGUUGAAUAUGCACAAUGGGAUAUUAUUUAAAGAAAUAUAAAAGGGACUAAAGGAAUGAAGGGAUAAAAAGGAAUAUAAUGCUUUUGUAAGCUACAACUUGGAGCCUUGAAAAUGUUAUGCUAAAUGAAAAAGACCAGUCACAAAAUGCCACAUACUGUUUGAUUCUGUUUGUUUAAAAAAAAUUCCAAAAGUGAAUCCAUAGAGAUGGAAAGCAGGUCGGUCAUGGCUAGGAGGAAGGAGGAGUAGGGAGUGACUACUUAAUGGGCACAGGCUUUCCUCUAACAGUGAUGAAAUGUUUUGGAACUAGAGAGAGCUGAUGGCUGCACACCCUUGUGAAUGUACUAGUUGCCGUUGGACUGUACACUUUACAGUGGUUUAAAUGAAUUUUUUAUUAUAUGAAUUUUACUUCAACUUAAAAAAAGGGAUAGUGUAAAACAAAGAGAAGGGGGGGAAGAGGAAAUAUCAUUGGACAAGACGAUUCAACAAAUUUUAGAAAAUGGAAAACAUUUGGAGAAAUGGAAAUUGACUUACCAGAGCAGAGGAAGCGAAAACCUAAGUGGUUUCGAGAGAAUGAGGAAUGCGGGUGGGGUAACCAAUGGAGAAAGGAGCUACUUUACUGGUCAGACACUAUAGAAAGGCUGAGGCUUAGAGAUAACAGGUGCUAUGAUAAGUAGCAAUAAAUAAAUAACUUCUGGUUGAAAUUCAGAAUAUAGAGAAUUUGGAUGUCAAGGUCUUUUUUUCUCCCCAUGCCAAACAGUCAGGAGACUUUACAGCCUGUCCCCUUGCUCUGCCCUGGGAGACUGAGAGAUGGUGGAGUUCAGGGUGAAAUCCCAUCCUGA